rnacentral:rRNA from 1 species
GACAGAGGUGCCGAGCGUUAGGCGGAAUCACUGGGCUUAAAGCGUGUGUAGGCGGGCCGUUAAGUACCUUGUGAAAUCCCCCGGCUCAACCGGGGAACGGCUGGGUAUACUGGCGGUCUUGGGCCACCUAGGGGCAGAUGGAACAAGCGGUGGAGCGGUGAAAUGCGUAGAUAUCGCUUGGAACGCCGACGGCGAAAGCAGUCUGCUGGGGGUGUGCCGACGCUGAGACACGAAAGCCAGGGGAGCGAACGGG